GCUGGGCACGGUGCCACAAGCCUGUAAUCCCAGUGGCUCUGGAGGCUGAGGCAGGAGGAUCAUAAGUUCAAAGCCAGCCUCAGUAAAAGUGAGGCACUAAACAACUCAGUGAGACCCUGUCUCUA
rnacentral:sRNA from 1 species